UACGUAGGGGGCAAGCGUUGUCCGGAAUCACUGGGCGUAAAGGGUGCGUAGGCGGGUCUUUAAGUCAGGGGUGAAAUCCUGGAGCUCAACUCCAGAACUGCCUUUGAUACUGAAGAUCUUGAGUUCGGGAGAGGUGAGUGGAACUGCGAGUGUAGAGGUGAAAUUCGUAGAUAUUCGCAAGAACACCAGUGGCGAAGGCGGCUCACUGGCCCGAUACUGACGCUGAGGUGCGAAAGCGUGGGGAGCAAACAGG
rnacentral:rRNA from 1 species